rnacentral:rRNA from 1 species
GACGAACGCUGGCGGCGUGCUUAACACAUGCAAGUCGAACGGAAAGGCCCUGCUUUUGUGGGGUGCUCGAGUGGCGAACGGGUGAGUAACACGUGAGUAACCUGCCCUUGACUUUGGGAUAACUUCAGGAAACUGGGGCUAAUACCGGAUAGGAGCUCCUGCUGCAUGGUGGGGGUUGGAAAGUUUCGGCGGUUGGGGAUGGACUCGCGGCUUAUCAGCUUGUUGGUGGGGUAGUGGCUUACCAAGGCUUUGACGGGUAGCCGGCCUGAGAGGGUGACCGGGCACAUUGGGACUGAGAUACGGCGCAGACGGCUACGGGAGGCAGCAGGGGAGAAUAUUACACAGUAGGCGGAAGCCUGAUGCAGCAACGCCGCGUGCGGGAUGACGGCCUUCGGGUUGUAAACCGCUGUCGCCUGUAACGAAGCGUGAGUGACGGUAAUGGGUAAAGAAGCACCGGCUAACUACGUG